UACGAAGGGGGCUAGCGUUGCUCGGAAUUAUUGGGCGUAAAGCGCACGUAGGCGGUUUGUUAUGUCGGAUGUGAAAGCCCUUGGCUCAACUGAGGAAGUGCAUCCGAAACUGGCAAGCUAGAGUAUGUAAGAGGGUCGCGGAAUUCCCGGUGUAGAGGUGAAAUUCGUAGAUAUCGGGAGGAACACCGGUGGCGAAGGCGGCGACCUGGGACAAUACUGACGCUGAGGUGCGAAAGCGUGGGGAGCAAACAGG
rnacentral:rRNA from 1 species